AGAAUCUGAAGUAGAGAACUCCCGCAGCAGACAUCUCACAGUACAUUACAACAGAGCCCCAGUGCAGGAAGAGGCAGAAGCAAGCCUGGGUUUGGCCUGUGGCUGCUCACAGUGAGGUGACCACCAUGUUUCUGACACCUUCAGAGAAAGGGAGUUUCGCCUCGUUCAGAUUCAACACUGACAGCUGGAAAAGUUCUCAGAGUCAUCUACAUGGAUUGGGAGACAGUGUGCUGAGGAAAGAUUCCAUGAUCACCUACCUGCCAUGACGCCUGGAGGCUGGUUUCGACAAUAAAGACCGCUCCUUA